GAGGAGCCUCCACCCCGACCAGUGAGUAUUGCGACUCUAUAUAGAGGGCCUUAAUGGGGGUCUUUGGGUGUCAGUUGUCAGCUAAAAUUUAAGCCAGUUGUCAGUGCGAUAUAUUGCAAGCUGUCAGUAGUCAGUUACUGCAAAAUGCUGACUCAUCAUUUUUUCAUCAUUUCUCGGUUGUCAGUUAGGAUAUUUUGUCAGUUGUCAGUCAAAAACUCAGGCAAAUGUCAGUAGUCAGUUAACCCCAUUGAG
rnacentral:lncRNA from 1 species